AUGCAAGAGCUCAUAGAGGCCUCCCUGCAAUGUUCCUGGACCUCUCAACUGUUCCCCACCAUGCAGCAAAGGAAUUCCCAUCUGUACUGGAGCAGUUCUGAGUGACAGAACUAUAGAUAUGGAUCUUGCCCUGUCAGCUGAAGAUUAGAUAUCCCUGGAUGUCCUGACUGGAGAUCUGCAGGCUGAGAAGAGCACAUAGCGUCCAUAGUUCCCUCUACAAGCAGUGCAUCAAGUGUCAAUGCAGGUCUGAGCAGGACAGAUGGACAGGAGUGUGGACCAGGGCUGAGUCUGAUGACCAGGUUCAGCAGCACUCCAGGCCCAGAGUCUGGUGUGAAGAUCAGUGCUGUGGUAUUGAACAGCAACAUCCCUGCAUAGGGAGCAAGACAACAGCCUUGGAGGUGCAGUGCAAGGUCCUCUGUCUUCAUUUAAUUUAAAUCUCUUCCCUCCUGCUGAGAGUUCAGCCCCAGCUAACCAUGUUGAAGAUCAGUGGAUCACAACCUCAUCUUCCCAUUGGAGACUCGGCAUAAGAAGCUGCAUCAUUCACAUGGAAGCACUACUGAACCACCUUUAAGGUUGCAAAGUGAAGCCCUUAAAAACCAGGAAAUAGCUGCAGGAAGCUUGCAUAUGCAAACCAUUAACUUCAUCCCUUUGCACAUAAACACUUUUAAAGUAUAUUCUGACCUUUUGCUGCCUCUGCUCUGUCCAGCCACUGAGACAAAGGCAGAAUAAAUAUAAAGCAGUGUAAAAUACUGUCAGGUCAGUACUCUCUCCUCACUCUCAAGAGAGUGUUAUACAGUCAUUUAACAGCGGUGUCCUUGGUGACAAACAGAGGAAACAGUGGGCAAGCAGGUCUAUAGUCUUUAGCUGUAGAGUCCCAUGAGUUCUUCAGGCCCCAAUACAGGAUAAAUUCCUACACAGGACUGAAUCUAAGUACAUGCUUUGAAGGACUCAAAAAUCCAUGUAUACGUGAAGUGCAGCCCCAAGAAACCAGAGUGCAUGUCUGAUCAGUCAGUUAAGUCUUGUAACUCAGGUGACUCAUAGAUAGUUUCAGCUGUGAAGCUAAAAGCUGUUCAUGCUGAAGUGGAAGUACAAUUAAGUCUCCAUUUUCCAGCCUGAAGAGUUUCAGUGAAAAAGAACAUUUUGAGAAAUUAAUAACUUGGUGAAGAGAGGAAUUUUACAGAAAUAAUCUCACAACACUACAGGGCUCCAGACACCACUGCAGUCAGAACUUCUGAGUUCAACUGCAUCACUGGACACUUACCUUAUUGGUCACUGAUAAUUUGGGACUCCUGAGCAGGAUUCACUGUUGAUUCUUUUUAAUCUGAUGGUUAUGAAUUUUCUUUUUGUGUUGUGGUGUCCUUUAAACCACUUGUCUACUCCAAGUGGACAAUAAAUUAUUAGCUGAAGUUAUAACUUUGUUACUCUAGUUCAGGGGUAGGCAACGUUUGUAGCUGGAGUGCCAAAAAACUGCAAUGUCUACCUUGUAAGGUGUUGGAGUGCCGGUAUGCCAGAAAAAACAAAACGGGUAGGGAGGGGGUACAUGGCAGGAUGCACUGCAUAUUAAUAUAGUUAAUAAUCAUAAAUGUUGGUUUGCUCAUGGUAAAUACCAGGUUUUCUAAAAAUUCUAAACCUGGUGACAUAAAUAAAACUUCAUAUACUAUC